GACGAACGCUGGCGGCGUGCUUAACACAUGCAAGUCGGACGAUGAAGCCGGAGCUUGCUCUGGUGAAUUAGUGGCGAACGGGUGAGUAACACGUGAGUAACCUGCCCUUGACUCUGGGAUAACUGCGGGAAACUGUAGCUAAUACCGGAUACGACCCUCGGAGGCAUCUCCUGGGGGUGGAAAGAAUUUCGGUCAAGGAUGGACUCGCGGCCUAUCAGCUAGUUGGUGAGGUAAAGGCUCACCAAGGCGACGACGGGUAGCCGGCCUGAGAGGGUGACCGGCAACACGGGGACUGCGACACGGCCCAGACUCCUACGGGAGGCAGCAGUGGGGAAUAUUGCACAAUGGGCGCAAGCCUGAUGCAGCAACGCCGCGUGAGGGAUGACGGCCUUCGGGUUGUAAACCUCUUUUAGCAGGGAAGAAGCGAAAGUGACGGUACCUGCAGAAAAAGCACCGGCUAACUACGUGCCAGCAGCCGCAGUAA
rnacentral:rRNA from 1 species